rnacentral:rRNA from 1 species
AGCGAACGCUGGCGGCAGGCCUAACACAUGCAAGUCGAACGAAGUCUUCGGACUUAGUGGCGGACGGGUGAGUAACACGUGGGAACGUACCUUUUGGUUCGGAACAACUCAGGGAAACUUGAGCUAAUACCGGAUGAGCCCUUAGGGGGAAAGAUUUAUCGCCGAAAGAGCGGCCCGCGUUAGAUUAGCUAGUUGGUGAGGUAAAGGCUCACCAAGGCUACGAUCUAUAGCUGGUCUGAGAGGAUGAUCAGCCACACUGGGACUGAGACACGGCCCAGACUCCUACGGGAGGCAGCGGUGGGGAAUCUUGCGCAAUGGGCGAAAGCCUGACGCAGCCAUGCCGCGUGAAUGAUGAAGGUCUUAGGAUUGUAAAAUUCCUUUACCAGGGACGAUAAUGACGGUACCUGGAGAAAAAGCCCCGGCUAACUUCGUGCCAGCCGCCGCGGUAACAC